rnacentral:rRNA from 1 species
GAUGAACGCUGGCGGCGUGCCUAAUACAUGCAAGUCGAGCGAACGGACGAGAAGCUUGCUUCUCUGAUUUUAUCGGCGGACGGGUGAGUAACACGUGGAUAACCUACCUAUAAGACUGGGAUAACUUCGGGAAACCGUAGCUUAUACCGGAUAAUAUUUUGCACCGCAUUGUUCAAACGUUAAAUUCGGUCUUGCUUUCACUUAUAGCUGGAUCCGCGCUGCAUUAGCUAGUUGGUAAGGUAACGGCUUACCAAGGCAACGAUGCAUAGCCGACCUGAAGGGGAGAACGGACAGCCUGGAAGUGAGACAGGGUACAGACACCGACAGGGAGCAGCAGUAGGGAAUCUUCCGGAAAGGGGGAGAGGCGGACGGAGCAACGCCGCGGGAGGGAUGAAGGACUACGGAUCGGAAAACUAUGUUAUUAGGGAAGAACAAAUGUGUAAGUAACUGUGAACAUCAUGACGGUACCUGGUCAGAAAGCCACGGCUAACUACGUG